GUGAGUCAUCGAAUCUUUGAACGCACCUUGCGCCUUUUGGUAUUCCGAAAGGCAUGCCUGUUUGAGUGUCAUGUAGACUCAACUCUCGAGAGGUUUCUUGCGAGUUGGAUUUGGGCGUUGCCAUUUGGCUCGCCUUAAAAGUGUUAGUGGUUUAAGCACUUGAUCGGACGUGAUAAGUUUCGUCCGGCCGUGUGUCAUCGACCGCUCCUAAACCGCCUUACGGCGCUCUUUGACUCUGACCUCAAAUCAGGUAGGACUACCCGCCGAACUUAAGCAUAUCAAUAAGCGGAGGA
rnacentral:misc_RNA from 1 species